ensembl:lncRNA
GAACUGUAGCCCGCCAGGCUCCUCUGUCCAUGGAGUUUUCCAGGCAAGACUACUGGAGUGGGUUGCCAUUUCCUCCUCCAGGGGGUCUUCCCGACCCAGGGAUCAAAACUGUGUCUCUUGCAUCUCCUGCAUCGAACUCCUCUUAUUGCACCCAUCUCACCACCCACAUGCUCAGCUGAAUCAUUUCAUCAAGGGUCGUUGGGAAUAACUAGAGCUAAAACGGGAACUCAUAAAGCCUAGCACAUCAUGAAUACUAAACAAAUGGUGAUACCGUUAUACGAAGAGAAGAAAAGCCAAGUGGGAUACCAGAAACAUCCUUAAGGAAGAGGAGAUUUCCAAACAUUCUCUGUUCAUUUCACACCAGUCAACGUCUGACAACGUCCAGCCAGAGUAGAAGGCACCAGCUGAAUUCACUCACUCCAUCCAGCUAGAGUGGGAAGACACUGAAGGACAUCCAUGGAAUUAAUCUUAAAAGAAAGCAGACAGCAUGGAGUUAGUUUAUAGCCACUUCAUCAGAGCUUGGGCAGCUGGAUUCCAGGCCUAAAGACUCAGCCUCCUUAAUGCUAAACAGCGUCACAGAAAGAGCUUCAGAGACAAUGGAGCGUUUAGAUGGCUGCCAUCCACCAUGACUAGUGAUUACUUCUGUCUGGGCCUUCAACAGAGCUUCAGAGACAAUGGAGCGUUUAGAUGGCUGCCAUCCACCAUGACUAGUGGCUUCUCACCAGUCAGGUUUCAGUUCACAUAUCAUCUCCUUUGGGAGGAGGCCCCCUGUCUAAACCAAACGUCCAUCUUCAACCUCCCCUCCCAUGUCAUCCUACCUGCUGGUGUUCACAGGGCAUUUAUCACUCUCUCUAAUUACCUAAUGACCUUGCUCAUUCAUUUGUUAUUUCCAUUGUGCCCUCACUAGUAUGGAAGUUCCAGGAGAGUUCAAAUAUCAUCUGUGAAGUUUUGCAUUGUGUCAUCAUAUGUUAGGCCUCUGGUAAAUAAUAGGCAUUCGAUAAGUAUCAAAUAACUAAAAUCACUCAUUUCUUCAACAAAUAGCCAUUCAAAGUGUAUCACAGUUCAGUCAUAAAAAAGAAUGAAAUAAUGCCAUUUGCAGCAAUAUGGAUGCACCUAGAGAUUGUCAUAGUAAGUGAAGUGGGUCAGACAGAGAAAGACA